UACGAAGGGGGCUAGCGUUGCUCGGAAUGACUGGGCGUAAAGGGCGCGUAGGCGGACGGCUUUGUCGGGCGUGAAAUUCCAGGGCUUAACCUUGGGGCUGCGUUCGAGACGGGUUGUCUAGAGUUUGGAAGAGGGUCGUGGAAUUCCCAGUGUAGAGGUGAAAUUCGUAGAUAUUGGGAAGAACACCGGUGGCGAAGGCGGCGACCUGGUCCUUGACUGACGCUGAGGCGCGAAAGCGUGGGGAGCAAACAGG
rnacentral:rRNA from 2 species